CAAGCAGUCGAAACCAAUAACUAAUACAAGAAACCAACUUUUCCUCUCUUUAUUUUAGAUUUGGGAAAAUUCCCUGCCAAAAAAAUAUCCUGGAAAAUUCACUAGUGUUUGUGUGAAGAAAUCUUGAAGACCAGAAAUUGGAACUUACUGAAUUUUAAAUUAAAACAAAAAUAUAUGUUUAUAUAAAUUGUCCGGCUGUGGAAGAUGGAUCUUCAUUUUUGCAGCCACUUUGAGUCACAAGUUCAUCUUUAAAUGAACUGGGUUUUUUUUUUUCAUUAUUUUUAAUUUUUAUUUUUUGAAGAGCUAACUAACCCUGGCUGUCUCCAGUCUCUCAGAGUAUUCAAAUGGACUUGCUUCCUCCAUUAGUUGUAAGAUGUUUAAAAGCACAUCCUAAGUUUGAAUUGUGGAUGAGAGGUUCCCUUGGCAAUGUGAGGAGGAAAAUUCUUUCUACCCCUUUAUUAUUAAUUCACGGAUUCAGUGUUGGUUCGGCCUACAGGAGAAGUUAACUGGAAGUCUUGGAAGAUCAGUACCUUUGCUGAGAUUGUCCAGGGUUACUUUUAAAAGAAGAUUUCACUGAUCAAGCCUGUAGAAGACUUUCAGCCCAAGAAAGAGUGAAAGCAGCACUUGUCAAGAGUGCAGGAGGUCCCUGUGAAGA